GAUGCCUCACUGCCUUUCUGCCGCGCCAGAAACAAUUCUUUUAAAAAAGCGGCAGAACUACAUGCGAGUUAUACAGAAAAUGGAACUAAGUCUUAAAAUCAAGUGGUGCUGCUAUCCUUUAAUGGAAGACCUUCAUCAAGUGUUGUAAUAUCUCCUUUUGUGAUGGGUAAGAUUCCAGCAAUAUUAUCUACAAUACCUCUUUGGAAGCAGCUGUUUGUUCAAGAAAAACAACAAACUUACCCAGGAUUGUCUCUGAAGGAUGAGCUGAGGAAACUCGCACAUUCUUUUGCAACAGAAGACAGAAAGCAGAGCCCUUCACUGCUGCGGUCCCCACCUGGCUGGCUCUCUUUUCGCCCACUCUAGUGCACGUGAGUCACCAAGUCUACUGCAAGGACAGUUCUGAGGCAAAGCGAAAAUCUCACUCACACUGAUUUAUGUCUACAUGUGAACAAUUACCUAUUAAUCAUUAGCACUUGAUACAGUAUGCAAGACAGA